rnacentral:rRNA from 1 species
AUACGGAGGAUGCGAGCGUUAUCCGGAUUUAUUGGGUUUAAAGGGAGCGUAGGCGGGAGCUUAAGUCAGCGGUUAAAUGGUGCGGCUCAACCGUGCCCUGCCGUUGAAACUGGGUUUCUUGAGAGUGCAAGAGGCGGAUGGAAUUCAUGGGGUAGCGGUGAAAUGCUUAGAUAUCAUGAAGAACUCCGAUUGCGAAGGCAGUCCGCUGGGGCACGUCUGACGCUGAUGCUCGAAGGUGCGGGAAUCAAACAGGAUUAGAUACCCUGGUAGUCCGCACGGUAAACGAUGAUUACCCGCUGUCGGCGGCAGACAGUCGGCGGCCAAGCGAAAGCGAUAAGUAAUCCACCUGGGGAGUACGCCGGCAACGGUGAAACUCAAAUGAAUUGACGGGG